rnacentral:rRNA from 1 species
AUUGACCGCUGGCGGCCGGCCUAACACAUGCAAGUCGAACGAGUGGCGGACGGGUGAGUAAUGUCUGGGAAACUGCCUGAUGGAGGGGGAUAACUACUGGAAACGGUAGCUAAUACCGCAUACCAUCGGAUGUGCCCAGAUGGGCUUAGCUAGUCGGUGGGUUAAAGGCUAACCUAGGCGACGAUCCCUAGCUGGUCUGAGAGGAUGACCAGCCACACUGGAACUGAGUCACGGUCCAGACUCCUAAGGUAGGCAGCAGUGGGGAAUAUGGCAAAAUGGGCGCAAGCCUGAUGCAGCCAUGCCGCGUGUAUGAAGAAGGCCGUCGGGUUGUAAAGUACUUUCAGCGGGGAGGCGUUACCCGCAGAAGAAGCACCGGCUAACUCCGUGCCAGCAGCCGCGGUAAUAC